UUUUUUAUGAAAGAUUUGGGUGAAGCAUCCUAUAUACUAGGUAUAAAAAUCUAUAGGGAUAGAUCUAAGAGGAUGUUAGGUGUUGCCCAGCUAUGCAACCCAAGAGGGGGGGUGAAUUGGAUUUCUAAAAAUUUUAGGCUUAAUUAAUUACUUAUGAUGAACAAAACAAAGACUUUAAUUCAAUAUUAAUUACCUAAAGCAGGAAUGCAAGGAUAUAAUAAAGAAAU
rnacentral:lncRNA from 1 species